rnacentral:rRNA from 1 species
UACGUAGGGUCCGAGCGUUGUCCGGAAUUACUGGGCGUAAAGAGCUCGUAGGUGGUUUGUCGCGUUGUUCGUGAAAACUCACAGCUCAACUGUGGGCGUGCGGGCGAUACGGGCAGACUGGAGUACUGCAGGGGAGACUGGAAUUCCUGGUGUAGCGGUGGAAUGCGCAGAUAUCAGGAGGAACACCGGUGGCGAAGGCGGGUCUCUGGGCAGUAACUGACGCUGAGGAGCGAAAGCGUGGGGAGCGAACAGU